GAUGAACGCUAGCGGGAGGCUUAAUACAUGCAAGUCGAGGGGUAAGGUUCUCUUCGGAGAAUACACGACCGGCGAACGGGUGAGUAACGCGUACACAACUUACCUUAUACUGGAGGAUAGCCCCGGGAAACUGGGAUUAAUACUCCAUGGUUCUUUAAAAUGGCAUCAUUUAAAAGAUAAAGUUCCGGCGGUAUAAGAUGGGUGUGCGUCCUAUUAGAUUGUUGGUGAGGUAAAGGCUCACCAAGUCGACGAUAGGUAGCGGGCGUGAGAGCGCGAUCCGCCACACGGGCACUGAGACACGGGCCCGACUUCUACGGAAGGCAGCAGUAAGGAAUAUUGGUCAAUGGAGGAAACUCUGAACCAGCCAUCCCGCGUGUAGGAUGACGGCCCUCUGGGUUGUAAACUACUUUUCUGAAGGAAGAAACCCUUGGAUUUAUCCGAGGCUGACGGUACUUCAGGAAUAAGCACCGGCUAACUCCG
rnacentral:rRNA from 1 species